rnacentral:RNase_P_RNA from 1 species
UAAGUCAGGCAGAUGUUCGCAUGCUUUCGGCAUGAGGAAAGUCCGGGCUGCACAGAGCAGGGUGCCGGAUAACGUCCGGUGGAGGCGACUCUAAGGAUAGUGCAACAGAAAUAAACCGCCCGCUUGUGCGGGUAAGGGUGGAAAGGUAAGGUAAGAGCUUACCGCGCUGUCGGUAACGGCAGCGGCUCUGUAAACCCCACCUGCAGCAAGGUCAUUGGGAUACACAGGCUGCUCGUCUUAUCCCAUAAAUCGACCGCUGAAGCCCCUCGGCAACGAUCGGCUUAGACAGAUGAACAUCAAAUACAGAACCCGGCUUACAGCUUGGCUUAUUUU